rnacentral:rRNA from 1 species
UACAGAGGGUGCGAGCGUUGUUCGGAAUUAUUGGGCGUAAAGGGCGCGUAGGCGGUGCGGUAAGUCACCUGUGAAAUCUCCUGGCUCAACUGGGAGCUUGCAGGCGAAACUGCCGUGCUGGAGUGUGGGAGAGGUGCGUGGAAUUCCUGGUGUAGCGGUGAAAAUGCGUAGAUAUCAGGAGGAACACCUGUGGGCGAAAAGCGGGCGCACU